GGCCCACUUUCGUAAAGCUGACAUUUCUCAUGAAUAGCGAAUUCCUGAGUGUGGGCAGUAGACCAAGGCCAGGAAUUCUCAUUAGCUGGUGAUAAUCAGGCAUGACUUGGACUGUGGAAGGCAGCUGGGCGGAGAGGUCAUAGGUAUGGGCAGGGGUGAGCCACAGCUGAUAGCUGGGCGCGAUCUGCCUGGAUUGUUACUGAAAUACUAACAUGCUCUUUAUGGGUUAGUAACUCCCUUCACCUCCCCAACGGCUCCUACCCGCUGGGACCUUCACCUCCCCAUGAUCCAACAGUGAAAGAUUUAAUACCCACAUGACAAGGGCCUUCCAGACAUGGUCCAGCUGGGGUCUGAUGCUGAUUUGGAUAGAUCCAUGGCAAACUGAUGAAGAAAUUUUGGUCAGAGAGAUGAAGUAGCUCUGCCAGUACACAGCAUGGAAUUGAAAGCAAUGGGCCUGGCACUGACUGAGAGGUACUCACAGCUUGGGGCAGACUCCCAUUUGGAGAUGGGAUCCUGAAGAAGCCUGGAUGUUUGUGAUGGCGGUCAACAGAGCUUCCAGAAUGGGGACCUAGAUGCAGUCGUCUUCAAGUUCCAUAGGAGGGCUGUGGCUGACCUUGUCUCGUCUGAUAAACCACUGAAGAAGAAUGCUGUGUAUCUAUCUAGUGGGGCCUUCUAGGGAACUACGGGGGGCAAGGGCAAGUUCAUUGGCCUGUCAUUACUGUUUCCUAAUCUAGGGAGCCUCUCAGGUGAGGAAACACGUUUUCCCACAAGAUGUCACCUGUGGCCACCUCCCAAGAAGUGGUCAGCUGGGAGAAGCUUUCAGCUUUCUGUAUCUUUCUUCCCUUCCCCCUCAGAAAAGACUCCCCUGAAGCGAUUGGUCUUCUCUGGCUCGGGCCAGGGGCUGAGGAGUGACGCUGGGUGGAGGCAACACCCAGGGAGAUAGGAAGCCUGUUCUGUGGGGCUUAUCUCAGGACUGUGAGGCAACUGAAGACAGAAGCCAUGAGAGGAGAAGUUUGGUAAUCUCAUCUGCAAUUGUUGUUUUUGUACUUAUCUAAGGAUGGGGGUGGGGAUGGAAGGGUGGGAAUGGGUUUGAGUUGCAGCCAAAGGAAUUUAGAUUAGACACCUGAAAGAACUUUCCAACAUACAACGCUGUAAGGCCAAAAGGAGAUAGUACAGUUGCCUUUUAUCUGGAUCCAUAGUAUAAUACUUAAGUUUAGGUGUUCAAUAAGUACUGAACACACAAGACUGGGAGUCUGGAGAGUUGGGCCAAAAGCUCUUAUUUGUCCUUCAUUCCCACUGGGGACAUUUCUCCUCUUUAUUUCACUCUCUGAGCCUCUGUGUCCUUGUCAGCCUUGUAGGGCUGCGAUGAGAAUUAAAUGAGACAAUAUGUGAAUGUGACCAGUCCAGUCAAUGCCUAGCACAUAGUACAUGCUUAAGAAAUACCUAUGUCAUCUGGAUUCUGGAAAUCCUGUACACCAUGGUAGUCCAAUAAAAAUA
rnacentral:lncRNA from 10 species